GCUGGGCGUAUGGCCCACGCCUGGAAUCCCAGCAGCUCAGGAGGCUGAGGCAGGAGGAUCGCAAGGUGGAGGCCAGCCUCAGCAACUUAGUGAGACCCUGAGCAACAACUCAGUGAGACCCUGUCUCUA
rnacentral:sRNA from 1 species